UCAAUUCAUCAUUAUGCUAAAUACUUGCGGCGUCCACAAUCACAUCUAAAAAUAGCCAACAUCUUUUUUUUUUCCACUCAUUAUGUGGUUGAUAGUAGCACAAUCACUCUUCUUAAAAAUGUGGCUAAGGGGUUAUUCUCAGUGCUAGCUGUCUGAACUGAGAGUCAUGUCAGUGUUUUUCCACACCGUUCAUGCCUUCAUCUGCAAGCGGAUGCAUUUGUCUGCAGUUUAUCUGACAGGGCAAACUAGAAAUCUAGGUUUCUGACGUAUCAGUUACCAGUCUGAGUGCAAGACCAGAUGAGAAAAUGAGCAGAACAAUGGUUUGGUGAAGAGCUGCAGGCUCUUGAUGCAGCUUGGACAAACCUCUAACAUCCAUAAUGAGUCUUUUCAAUUAAAAUGGAGUGGAUCAAUAAGACGCUCGGCACUUACUGGAACUGGCUUGCUCCAAGGCUUCCUGCUCCACGUCCAUCUGGUGGUAAUGGCGGAUGCAGACGCGACUGUCUAUCUGGUAGAGCAGGGCAGGACACAGAUGCAUCUGGUCCCCCUCUCGUUCAGACAGAUUUCCAGGCGACUGGCCUUGGUUGGGCUAAUCACAACAGUUUACUAAAUAUGGGACACACUUUACUCAAAAUACGUGACAACAACCAAGAUGGCUGCAGCUGAUGUGGAACUUUCUGAUGAAGAACUAUUUUUAAAUUCUAAAGGCAAAAACGGCAACACUCCUUCAUACACAUACUGAUGCACCAUCACAGAUCAUCCCUGCACACUGUAGUCUGUUCACAUUUGUCUGUUGAUCAGCGCUAUGUCACAUUUCAUUUCUCUGAUUUGUUAAGGUCUCUCCAAUUGCACUUCUUGCCACUUGCCACUUCUAUGAAUCUGUUCAUAUUUGAAACACAAGCUCUUGAUAUAGAGCUUCUCGCUUACCAAAGCUAACAUCAGUC